rnacentral:lncRNA from 1 species
GAGCUGUCGACAUAGACUGGCAGCAGAUCUCCAGGGUUUUAGAUAGAUCCCAGGUUCAAUGCCUGGCAUCUCCAGUUGGGACUAAGAGAAGACUAUUUGCCUGAAACCAUGGAGCGCUGCUGGCAAUACUGAGGUCCAUGAAAUGAUGAUCUGACUUCUCAUCACAGGGCAGCUUCUGAACUUGCAGGUAAAAAAGGAAUGACUGAUAAAGUGGAGGGCAGUCCCAUCACUCCUCCUUUUAGAAAUUAAAUGCUAGGUCAGCAGGCAACUGGAAUUAAAGAGCCGCUUGCUCCAUUCAUGCCUUCUGCUCCCAAGCCUUCCUCAGGUGUGCUCUGUGCCUUGCAGGACUGGCCCUAACAGUGCCUGCUUUGUGAUGUCCACCUGCUCAAUUCUCCACCACCCGAAAACAUCCAGCAGGUGUGCUCAGCCAGGCCCUCAUUAGCGCCUGCCACAUUCACGGGAAAUUUAGAGGUGAACGACCCAGCUCCUGAAAGCGGGGCGCGGCUCAAAACGUCUGCACCGCCAUCCCAACUUAAACAGACUGUUUAGUGUUGCCGAGCGGAUGAUUUAUUUAUCCUGUCUGGGAAGGAAGCCAGGGGCUCUCUGUCACGGACAAUUAGAGGAGGAUGGAUGUCCACCAACAUUCGCUGAAGGCCAACAUUAAUCUUUGCUCAGUAUCUGCAAUGCAUUUGCACCACUGCCGUCUAUCUCGACACACUCCUGGCUAAGCGCAGAAAACAAAACAAACCACACACACACACACACACACACACACACACACUAAAAGUAAGAACAUCACCUUGAACAACAAACAGGGGCAUGCAUUUUCUACACACUGGAUGACCCAUCAGUGCUAGGUAGGAAGCUGCCUUAAACCAAUCAGACCACUGGUCCAUCUAGCUCAGCAUUGUCUACACUGACUGGCAGCAGCUUAUCCAGGGUUUCAGGCAGGGGGUCUUUUCCCAGCCCUUCCUGAUGGGGAUUGAACCUGAGAUCUUAGAUGUGUAUGUCAUGUGCUCUGACACUGAGCUGCAGCCUCCCCCCAAAGUAUGGUCUUAGUCCUCAUAGUUGUGUCAUGUGGCCUCCAUAAAGUUGUGCAGAAGGAAAUGUGGUCCUCAGGCUGCAAAAAAAAAAAAAAAAAAAAAAAUUCCCCAAACUACUUGACUGGGGUGUGGGCGAUUCUGUUUUGACAUGGACACUCUUUAGUUGGCUAUAUUUUCAGUGACGUCGUACAGCAACAGACUGUGACAUGAACCAAGAUUUGCAGAUGUUUCUCUCACUUGCUUUACAUUCAACAGUGCACUAGAAUCUGGCUGGAAUCCAGCUGUUAUCAAUGACCGUCCUAAGCUUGCCCAUUGGUGCUGACUUAAAGCUCGCUCGCUACCAACAGCAGAAGAAACCAGAGCGAAUUUCAUUUCAGCUGCAACCUCCCUGCUUCCUUGUUUAUUUGGAAAGUCCAGUCAACUGUAAUCAAGGGUGGGGGGUGGUUACUCAGCGAAGUUACAGCUGAGCAAACAGAAUUAGGAUACAAAACAGCAGUGCAGUUCUUGCAUAGCAAAAAACAGGGGUGUAAUAUACAGCAAUAAAGCCAUAGACUCAGGACUAUGGAUGGGAUACAGAAAUUCAAUUCAGUUUGCAUAUAAAGAGAAAGCCAGCGUGACGUAGUGGUUAGAGUGCCCUGACUAGGACCUGGGAGACCAGGGUUCAAAUCCCCCACUUGGUCAUGAAGCUCACUGGGUGACCUUGGGCCAAUCACUACCUCUCAUCCUAACCUACCUCACAGGGUUGUUGUGGAGAUUAAGGGUGUGUGUGAAGAACCACGUAGACUCCCUUGAGUUCCUUGGACGAAGAAGUGGGCUACAAUAACGAUGUAAAGAAAGAAAAGGCAUACCUUUGUGAAAUAAUAUGUGGA